UACAGAGGGGGCAAGCGUUGUUCGGAAUUACUGGGCGUAAAGGGCGCGUAGGCGGCCUUCUAAGUCAGACGUGAAAUCCCUCGGCUUAACCGGGGAACUGCGUCUGAUACUGGAUGGCUUGAGAUUGGGAGAGGGAUGCGGAAUUCCAGGUGUAGCGGUGAAAUGCGUAGAUAUCUGGAGGAACACCGGUGGCGAAGGCGGCAUCCUGGACCAACACUGACGCUGAGGAGCGAAAGCCAGGGGAGCAAACGGG
rnacentral:rRNA from 1 species